rnacentral:rRNA from 1 species
UCAUCGCAUCCUGGGGCUGUAGUCGGUCCCAAGGGUUGGGCUGUUCGCCCAUUAAAGCGGUACGCGAGCUGGGUUCAGAACGUCGUGAGACAGUUCGGUCCCUAUCCGUCGUGGGCGUAGGAAAUUUGAGAGGAGCUGUCCUUAGUACGAGAGGACCGGGAUGGACAUACCUCUGGUGUACCAGUUGUCGUGCCAACGGCAUAGCUGGGUAGCUAUGUGUGGACGGGAUAAGUGCUGAAAGCAUCUAAGCAUGAAGCCCCCCUCAAGAUGAGAUUUCCCAACUUCGGUUAUAAGAUCCCUCAAAGAUGAUGAGGUUAAUAGGUUCGAGGUGGAAGCAUGGUGACAUGUGGAGCUGACGAAUACUAA